GCAGUCGGCCAGACGACCGCUGCUCCGGUCAACCACGGGCAACCGUGAAGUAGCUGGGGGAGAGGAAAGUCCGAACUCCGGAGGGCAGUGCGCCGGGUAACGCCCGGGCAGGGUAACUUGACGGAUUAGUGGCACAGAAAAUAUACCGCCCCGAGCAAACCCGAAAGGGUGAGUCGAGGGGUAAGGGUGAAAAGGUGCGGUAAGAGCGCACCGCGUCCGUGGCAACACGGAUGGCAGGCAAAACCCCGCACGGAGCAAGACCAAAUAGGGUGGCGAUUGGCGCGCCGGUGCAUUGUGUGCCGGUGCAGUCAGGGAGGACGGCCCGUCCAAAGCCACCGGGUAGGUUGCUGGAUCCUGCGAGCGAUUGCAGGGCUAGAGGAAUGGUCGUCUCGCCGUAGCUCUGCCAGGCCGUGAGGCCUGGUAGAGCGAAGGCGGACAGAAUUCGGCUUACCGGCCGGCUGCGACA
rnacentral:RNase_P_RNA from 1 species